GUAGGUGGCAAGCGUUGUCCGGAAUUAUUGGGCGUAAAGCGCGCGCAGGCGGUUCUUUAAGUCUGAUGUGAAAGCCCCACGGCUCAACCGUGGAGGGUCAUUGGGAAACUGGAGAACUUGAGUACAGAAGAGGAAAGCGGAAUUCCACGUGUAGCGGUGAAAUGCGUAGAGAUGUGGAGGAACACCAGUGGCGAAGGCGGCUUUCUGGUCUGUAACUGACGCUGAGGCGCGAAAGCGUGGGGAGCAAACAGGGAUUAGAUACCCUGGUAGUCCACGCCGUAAACGAUGAGUGCUAAGGUGUUAGGGGGGUUUCCGCCCCCUUAGUGCUGCAGCUAACGCAUUAAGCACUCCGGCCUGGGGAGUACGGCCGCAAGGCUAG
rnacentral:rRNA from 1 species